GACGAACGCUGGCGGCGUGCCUAACACAUACAAGUCAACUUGACUGAAGGAGCAAUCUGACAGUAGAGUGGCGCAAGGGUGCGUAACGCGUAAGUAACUUGCCCCAAGGUAAGGAAUAACGUCGAGAAAUCGGCGCUAAUACCUCAUAAUGCAGCGGAUCCGCAUGGAUAUGUUGUUAAAGGUUUACCGCCUUGGGAUAGGCUUACGUCUGAUUAGCUAGUUGGUGUGGUAACGGCACACCAAGGCUACGAUCAGUAACUGGUCUGAGAGGAUGAUCAGUCACACUGGAACUGAGACACGGUCCAGACUCCUACGGGAGGCAGCAGUGAGGAAUAUUGGGCAAUGCUCGAAAGAGUGACCCAGCAACGCCGCGUGGAGGAUGAAGGUAUUCUAUAUCGUAAACUCCUGUGAGAGCAGACGAAAGACAGAUUAUAAUCUGGAUGACUGUAUGCUCAGAGGAAGCCCGGCUAACUACGUGCCAG
rnacentral:rRNA from 1 species